CAGUUAUUGUUCAGUUGGGAGAGGGAGAGAGAGGUUUUCUUCAGUGCUGUAGCCCCCAAGUAAAUUGCCCGUGCUUCUGUAAAUAACUCCUCACCCACGCUCGCUCCUCACUUUGGAGAAAGUUCUAGCCCAUGGUCCUGUGGAAGUCCCCUCCAGCUCGGCAUGCUUGGCAGUUUCUCAGAUUGAGUUGCGGUUAUAGAUUUGGGGAGAGGAACGCAGACACGAGCCAUCUCCUUAUUUCACAGUCGGAGCGGACAGAUGACCCAACUGACUUUUUGGUGGUCGUGGCCUCCAUCUCUUGGCUCACUGCUGGCAGGGAUGAACCGCGGAGGAUCACCAGAUGCCUGGACAGCAUCUCUUGGAAACUAAGACUUGGAAGGACAAAACCAGAAAGCAAAGUAGACAGGAGGGACUGGAGAAUCCCUGGAAGCUCUCAGGCCAACUAGCCUGCUGUACAGUGGUGACUGCAUACCAAGAGACCCUACCUCAAUCAAGGUGUGGAAGUGGUGUUGCUUUUUCUGUGUACUCUGGCCAUAACGUGUCACUCCAGACCCCCAGCAAUGAAAAGAGAGGAACAUGAAAUGAAGCCUCCAACGCUGUGAGCCCGGAUAAACCUCCUCUGCCAACGAGCUGAGUUUGGAAAUAGUUUGGACCUUUGUUCCAGUGAAGGAAGGCCGACUGAUGACAUGUUUGUCUGCUGGGAGGAAGGCACAGAAAAGGACCCCCUGGGCCCAGAGCCGAUCCUAGCAUCAAAUACUGCUGAGAAACCUCGAGAUGCUUGAAGUCCAGAAAAGGGAGAUGUUUGCUAGAGCCCGUAGAUGGGAGAUGAAGUCAGGGUCCAAUAAUGGAACUGUGUGACUUGGGAGUGGCCAUAAAGGUCAUCACUGGCCGGAUGUUAGAUGAAGUUCAUUGCACAUAUUCUUAUUUAGCACCAGAGAUGUUGGAGGGCCCAGGGUAUCACAGACCUCCUGAACACAUGGAGCCUGGGCAAACUGAUUUACACUAUGGUCACUGGGUUCACAAGGUAACAAAGCCUUCAGCUCUGCACCAUCUGAUUGCAGGCGUGCAAGGCCACCAACCACGUGGAAACUUGGGAAAUCCUUAUAUCCUACUUACCUGUUACAGGUUCUGGGGAGAGAAUAACCAUAGGCCAACUCAUGGGGCACCCAUGGCUAUGACUCUGUGCUGAAGCUUUGCCACCAGACCCCCGUCCCCCCAGAAAUCAUCCCAAUAAUUCCAGUCACCAAGAUUGUGGAAGCCAUGGGCACCAUGAGCUACAAAGUCCAAGAAAUCAUGGAACCUGUAGGAAAGAGAAGCCAAAUGAUGUCCUAGUAGCCUACACUACACUGAAAUACCGAUUAAGCCAUGGCACCGUUUUCACCACGCAGGAAAGUUUGUGAAGCAUCAUUCAAACAUGAGCCCUACAGGUACUCCUCCCUCUUAAUCUCAUUUUGGAAAAACCAACUGCAAGAGGUGGAUGAGAAGGGAAAGAGCAAGGGCCGCUCAGGACCCCGCUUUACCUGACCCUUUUAUGCUGCUGUCCCUAUGACCCAGCCCCGCACAGUGUUGCUGGGGAUGGUCAGAGCACCCGCAGCACCGUGGAGGAGAUGGGCAUUGACAGGAGGUUCAGGGAAACACCAUCUGAUGAUAUAACCUCCACGGACCCUCCCCAGGAUGGGAAAACCAAAGAUGAAAAUGACCGGGGUAGGUUCUCCAGGAACGAUCACUGGCUUCUAUCAUCAGUGAUCACCAGCCCCAGGGGACCCCAGCCUCCAACAGCACUAGACGAAGCGGCUGGAAGGAGGCCGGGAGGCAGACUGUUCCCUUGCUUCGUACUCACUGCCGCUGCCUCUCUAUCUCAGAGAAAAACAGCACAUCUCCCAGGGGUGACAACAGCCCCAGGUCUGUGGUCAUCAAACCACAGGACUGGGUCAGCCUGGUCUGGACUGAGCUAUAGGAAGGAACCAGGCCAGAACUCCAGGAGUCUGUGUGCUCAAAUGCCCAUUGCCAGACAGCCCUGUGACCGGGCACAUUUCCUCUACCCCCCUCCUCCCAGCUGCUGAGUCGGAGCUAAUAGCUCCUCCCUCGUUUAGUCCACUGUGCUUUCAGCACUGUUGUCUGGAGAAGGACGUGGUCCACAUGGCUUCCACCUUAUGAAACUACGUUCCUCAAGCCUCAACCCACAGUGAGAGAACUGAGUGUCCCCUGGACUCAAGGGCUGACUCAAGGACCUUCACCAGCUUGUCCCCACAUCCUCACCAACGUUAUCACUAACCGAAGCAGAAACUAUAACCAAAGGUACUGCUCCCCUGAACUGGGAUUUUAGAAACUGGCAGAAUUUUUCCUACCCCACUGAGGGACUUCUUGACUAUCAUUUGGCUAGACUUUUGAGAUUUUUCUGCCACACCGAGGCAACGUAAGAAGAUAUUUCCAGACGUGGGGCCCAGCUUUGCCUCACAAGGCCAGCAGCUGUGGGACUUCUUUGUGCCAUUGCCUUAGGGAUCAAGCUUAAAAGGAAAUCUUGAUCACUAUGUGGCCAACAGACACCAAACAGUGGAGCAGCAUAGAUCCCUGCUGGGUGAGGUGUCUGUUCUUCUGGGCGCCUUCCAGCUUCUCCAGACGACACUGAAAGGGUUUAAGAAUGUGUCCCCCGCUGAGCCCUGCGAAGUCAGUGUCUAGCUGUGUCUGUCCUCUGGCCAGUAUCACCUGGGGAAGGACAGCGUUUGCCCAGCUCCUGUCCCAGGUCACUGCUGAUGUGAAUAUGAGGAACUUGAGAACAUCCAUAUGGACAAUCUCAUUGGCUUUAAAGGGCUUGCUCUGCCCUGAAGGAGCCACAGCCCAAUCAGGCUGCAUUUGAGAUCACAAGUUCUAACCAGAGAACUCAGAGCAGACACAUGCAGUUGGUGGCUACCUGGAUGGUUUAGAAGACACUGCAUAAUUUAAUUUCAAGGACUCUCAUGUCCAUGAGUGCAAAGGCAAAUCAAGCAGAUGAUGGUACAUAAAGAAACGGGGAAGAUUUAUCACCCACAGCAGGGAUAAUGACACAGUUCUGAAAUCUCCUUUUGUGAUGGCCGCUGUUACCUUUUGUUCUCAUCCCACAAGAAGAGGCCCUGAUGUCAGGGACGGUGCCCAGCCUAGAGCCUCAAGGCUCACAAUGGCGCCCUCAUCUUCAGGGAAUCCGCCAAUUGCACUGCUUAAGUGUGACAGUGCAUGGCUGUUUCCAUGUACUGCUUCGCUUUUCUCUAAAAUAACCUGUCUCCCCACUUGCAGAGCACAGAGGUGUCCAGGUGGCACGGAUUGUCCCCACACAUCCCCCAGCCCCCUUUCCGCUGUUACGGGACACCCAGUGUUGGUGUGUUUUCUGUCAGGAUUCAGGUUUCUUUCUACCCUGGAAUGCCUGCAAACCAAUUGGAAAACAGUAGUAUCAUCAGAAAUGCCAAACUCUGAACUCCUCUCAGGGUGAGGUUUGCAGCUUAUUCUCUUACCCCCUCCCUCCUCCAUUUUUAGUCAGUUCCUUCCAUUAGCUUAGUAAAACUUUCCCAAAGUGAAAACACCCUCUGUCCUAAGGAAUGAAGACAAUAGAGUGGAAACACAGGGUGCCCGGGUCUUCUGUAGGUCUCCUCCAGUAACCUGGGAACCAACCACAGGGUCCCGUCUCUACACUGCUGCUGCACGCACACAGUUCUUAGUCACCCAUCCCACAGUGUCCUCUGAUGUAGUCUUCCCAUAAUCGAAUGAGGAAUGCUACAGCUUAGGCCACAGAGCCUUUCUUGUACCUUUGUAAGUGCAGACGAGAGGCGCCAUCAUUAGACCCAUGCUGAUAGGUUCGGUGCAUACAGCAUUGUGGGAGUUCUAGACGGGCUGGGGACUGGAUCAUGGACUGAACCCUCCAACAGUUGAUUACCUUUGGGGUCUGUACACUGAAAGAGGGCUGAAUGAAAUAUGUGUCUUCUUGGAGGAAGGCUUUGUAUGACAUUUCCCUCCAAAUAGUCGGGGGAAGACAAGCUGAGUGGUGCAGAUGCAGAGGAGACAUUUAGACUGUGGAGCCUCCUGCAAGUUGUGCAGAGACCCCCAGGUCUGUGGCCUUUGUGGACUGUCCCCCAAGUUUGAGUGGGGUUUCCAGUGGUAGAAAUGUCUUUUUUCCUCAGAGUCAUUGCUGUACCUUGCACAUAAUCCCUCAUCAAUAUUCCUGGUAGUAACCCCAAUAAAACCUCAUUGUCUCACCAAA